GCCUAGAUGGUGGAAUUGGUAGACACGGGGGACUCAAAAUCCCCUUCCUUCGGGAGUGAGGGUUCGAUUCCCUUUCUAGGUACCA
rnacentral:tRNA from 1 species